GACGAACGCUGGCGGCGUGCCUAAUACAUGCAAGUAGAACGCUGAAGGAGGAGCUUGCUUCUCUGGAUGAGUUGCGAACGGGUGAGUAACGCGUAGGUAACCUGCCUGGUAGCGGGGGAUAACUAUUGGAAACGAUAGCUAAUACCGCAUAAGAGUGGAUGUUGCAUGACAUUUGCUUAAAAGGUGCACUUGCAUCACUACCAGAUGGACCUGCGUUGUAUUAGCUAGUUGGUGGGGUAAGGGCUCACCAAGGCGACGAUACAUAGCCGACCUGAGAGGGUGAUCGGCCACACUGGGACUGAGACACGGCCCAGACUCCUACGGGAGGCAGCAGUAGGGAAUCUUCGGCAAUGGACGGAAAUCUGACCGAGCAACGCCGCGUGAGUGAAGAAGGUUUUCGGAUCGUAAAGCUCUGUUGUAAGAGAACCACGAGUGUGACAGUGGAAAGUUCACACUGUGACUGAAUCUCACCAGAAAGGGACGGCUAUCUACAUGCCAGCAGCCGCGGUAAUACGUAGGUCCCGAGCGCUCUCCGGAUUUAAUGAUGCCAAAGCGAGCGCACGGGGGUUAGAUAUCAUCUGACAUUAAGGCUGUGUCUUACCCAUAGCUCCGCUCUUUUAGGCAGUUUAACUUGAGUGCCCAAAAGUAUACCCCCCUUUCUCUGUGUGGUGCCGCAC
rnacentral:rRNA from 1 species